rnacentral:rRNA from 1 species
CCUACGGGUGGCAGCAGUGAGGAAUAUUGGUCAAUGGACGAGAGUCUGAACCAGCCAAGUAGCGUGAAGGAUGACUGCCCUAUGGGUUGUAAACUUCUUUUAUAUGGGAAUAAAAUGUUCCACGUGUGGGAUUUUGUAUGUACCAUAUGAAUAAGGAUCGGCUAACUCCGUGCCAGCAGCCGCGGUAAUACGGAGGAUCCGAGCGUUAUCCGGGUUUAUUGGGUUUAAAGGGAGCGUAGGUGGAUUGUUAAGUCAGUUGUGAAAGUUUGCGGCUCAACCGUAAAAUUGCAGUUGAAACUGGCAGUCUUGAGUACAGUAGAGGUGUGCGGAAUUCGUGGUGUAGCGGUGAAAUGCUUAGAUAUCACGAAGAACUCCGAUUGCGAAGGCAGUUCACUGGACUGCAACUGACACUGAGGCUCGAAAGUGUGGGUAUCAAACAGGAUUAGAUACCCGAGUAGUC